GAUGAACGCUGGCGGUGUGCCUAACACAUGCAAGUCGAACGGAAGGACGAUAAGCUUUUUCCCUUGCUGUUAGCGGCUGGCGGGCGAGUAACGCGUGCAUCGGCAUCUACUUUUUCUGGGAUGACUUCGUAAAACCGGAUAUGAUACUGCAUAAUACUUCCUACGGGUUAGUUCAGGAGUGAUUCAGGCCUUUGGCGUCACAUUUAGCCGGAUCCGCGUUGGAUUAGUUAGUUGGUAAGGUAACGGCUUACCAAGGCGACGAUGCGUAGCCGACCUGAGAGGGUGAUCAGCCACACUGGAACUGAGACACGGUCCAGACUCCUACGGGAGGCAGCAGUGGGGAAUAUUGGGCAAUGGGCGAAAGCCUGACCGAGCAACGCCGCGUGGGUGAAGAAGGUCUUCGGAUCGUAAAACUCUUUUGUUGGGGAAGAAAAGAUGUGGGAGAAACUGUGCACGUCUUGACGGUACCUAAAGAGAAAGCAACGGCUAACUUCGUG
rnacentral:rRNA from 1 species